rnacentral:lncRNA from 1 species
CCAGAGGCUUGAGAGAGACCAUUGAGGAACUCAAAGAGGGAGGUCUUCUCCUCUUCUUUGCAGGAGAUGGCAGGAGAGGCCAAGGAGAGAAAUAACACAAGAGCAACACCAAGUAAAGGUAUGUGUAGCAUUUCUGAUUUUCUGUUGUUGCAUGAAUACUGGAGCGGCUGCAUGGUCUUUUGCAUGAAAGAAGGUAGGACCCUGCGAAGACUUCACUGCUAUAUAAAACAGUGGCAAACAGAAUAUUGAAAAGCUUGCAAGGAUGUUGACCCCAUAUUGCUUUUGCACCUUGUUUUGUCAUGAUUAGAUGUUUGUAGCCUUUCUGCAAUUACACGUUCUGAUAUCUAGGUUCAUAUGAGCAUCCUUCUUUUUUAUGGUAACACUGUGAGUUCUGACUCUAGGUUUCAACCCUUUUUUGUGGUUUCUUAAUCUUUGUUCCCUAAUGAUUAGUGAUCAUGUAAUACUGGAAGAAAAGCACUGCAGAUCUGCAAGGUUGUAUUGUUACUUCAUUUGCUAAAGUCAUAGACUAUUUGCAGUGCAUAUUUGGUAUUUCAUUUGCAAGAGCCAUGAAGACUAUCUGCUCUAUAUGCAGGGUUGUAUUGGCAUUUCAUCUGUUGGUUUUAUAAAAUCUAAACCUCGUAAUAUUUUUGUUCAUUUUCUAAUGUUUUUUUUCCUGGGAUGUGAACUGUACUGAUUCACCAAAACAUAUUAUAUAGUUGUAGUGAAAUGCUGACCGAAUCAAUUGGAAUAUGGAUGCACCCCUGUUGAGAGAUUUGGGAAGAAAGUGAGUACAAGAUAGCCCUGUAGUUCCCAUGCUGAUAUAAGGGGAACCAUGAUGCUUGAGUGGACGCAUGACAUACACGUAUGUUCUUCUAAACUUUGCAAAUGUUGCUUUUUCUGAAGCAUAUUAUGCAACACAGGAUAUAAGUUGGUAACAAGAUAUCUUUAACAGUGGCGCCAGCAGCCAGCCCUAUGCUGGCAAGUGAACUCCGGGUGAUGACCAUUCUAACAGUAGGAUCACCAAGUGGAGCUUAGCGUGACACACCUAUCCUGAUCUGAUCUGGUCUGAUCUGAUCUGCUUUUGAAAAAGAGGAUAUUCGUUCACGAUCCACAUGAACACAUCUUCUGCCCACGACGUGUUUCGUCUCUGACCUAUUGAUCAAGACAGGUCCAGCCUUCGUCUCUCCACCCCUGUGCAGGCUGGCCAUGUAUUCUUCUCACCGAGUGUCGUGUGGAUAUGGCAUCCGGUACUCUGAGUUUCAUUGAUAAAUUGGUUCAUUUAAAACUUUGUAUCUGCCCACUGACCCACGGAUAGGAUAUACUCAACCCAUCACAAUUUAUAAGACGUUUGACUUUUUUGACACUAAGUUUAACCACUAACGAGUGGUCAAAGUUAGGAUAAAAAAGUCAAACGUCUUAUAAUUUGGAAUGGAGGGGAGUACUUCUGUAGCUGAAUUGACAACCAGGGAUCAUAUGCCAAAGGAAGAGAAAAUGACCUGUCCAAUUGGUACAACGAGUUUUUAUUCUUUUCUUCUUCCUCUUCCUCUUCCUCUUCCUCCUCUUCUUUGAGAACCUUCUGUUGAUUCCUGUUACUUUUCCCUUUUGCAGAUCAUGGACAGUUGGUUCCCACUAGUUAUCCAUCACAUGCUUUUAGCUUUUGGAGUCAUGGUGGAAGGAAUGGAGGAUGAGCAAAUAUCCUUGAGCUGACAUUCCUUGAUAUUGAGCUCGUUUCAGACACGCACAAUACACAAAGUUGCAAAUACUAAACGGUCGAUAAAUUUACGUCCUUUGGCUGCCACAAGACCUGCAUUCUCCUCCGGUCUAAAGAGUGUCAUUUAGAUUUUGCACAAUUAACAUAUUAAACCUUUGGUUGUCGAUACCCUGUUGAAAAAUUGAACUUUGAAAAUGAUGUCUCUAGAUUUGUCUUGAAAAGUAUUUUGAAAACAUUAAAAUUUGGCAAAAAUUUGGAGGGGCAUUCUAAAAAGGUGGCUAUUGCUAGCGAACACA